CGUGAGUAACCUGCCUCUAAGAGGGGAAUAACAUUCUGAAAAGAAUGCUAAUACCGCAUAACAUAUAUUUAUCGCGUGGUAGAUAUAUCAAAGAUUUAUCGCUUAGAGAUGGACUCGCGUCCGAUUAGUUAGUUGGUGAGGUAACGGCUCACCAAGACUGCGAUCGGUAGCCGGACUGAGAGGUUGAACAGCCACAUUGGGACUGAGACACGGCCCAG
rnacentral:rRNA from 1 species